UACGUAGGCAGCGAGCGUUGUUCGGAGUUACUGGGCGUAAAGGGUGUGUAGGCGGUUCUCUAAGUUUGGGGGGAAAUCUCCCGGCUCAACCGGGAGGGUGCGCCGAAAACUGGAGGGCUAGAGUGCGGGAAGGGAGAGUAGAAUUCCUGGUGUAGCGGUGAAAUGCGUAGAUAUCAGGAGGAAUACCGGUGGUGUAGACGGCUCUCUGGACCGCGACUGACGCUGAGACACGAAAGCGUGGGGAGCAAACAGG
rnacentral:rRNA from 1 species